rnacentral:antisense_RNA from 7 species
GUGGGAGGGGGCUUGCCCCCGAUGGCGGUGGAUCAGUCAGCUCUCUGUAGCUGAUCCACCGCUAUCGGGGGCAAGCCCCCUCCCAC